UGGGGAAUCUUGGACAAUGGGCGCAAGCCUGAUCCAGCCAUGCCGCGUGAGUGAAGAAGGCCUUAGGGUUGUAAAGCUCUUUUGGCAGGGACGAUAAUGACGGUACCUGCAGAAUAAGCCCCGGCAAACUUCGUGCCUGCAGCCGCGGUAAUACGAAGGGGGCUAGCGUUGUUCGGAUUUACUGGGCGUAAAGCGCACGUAGGCGGAUUGUUAAGUCAGGGGUGAAAUCCCGGAGCUCAACUCCGGAACUGCCUUUGAUACUGGCAAUCUUGAGGCUGGAAGAGGUUGGUAGAAUUCCCAGUGUAGAGGUGAAAUUCGUAGAUAUUGGGAAGAAUACCAGUGGCGAAGGCAGCCAACUGGUCCAGAUCUGACGCUGAGGUGCGAAAGCGUGG
rnacentral:rRNA from 1 species